GUAGGACCUGUGGGGGUAAGGUAGUGCCUGUGGGGUUAGGGCCAGUAAGGUAGGGCAUGUGAGGGUGAGGUAGGGCCUGUGGGGUUAGGCCCAGUGAGGUAGGGCCUGUGGGGGUGAGGUAGGGCCUGUGGGGUUAGGCCCAGUGAGGUAGGGCCUGUGGGGUUAGGGCCAGUGAGGUAGGGCAUGUGAGGGUGAGGUAGGGCCUGUGGGGUUAGGCCCAGUGAGGUAGGUACUGUGGGGUUAGGCCCAGUGAGGUAGGGCUUGUGGGGGUGAGGUAGGGCCUGUGGGGUUAGGCCCAGUGAGGUAGGUACUUUGGGGUUAGGCCCAGUAAGGUAUGGCCUGUGGGGGUGAGGUAGGGCCAGUGGGGUAAGUGCCAGAUGGGUAAGGGCCAGUAGGGUUAUGGGCCAGUGGAGUUAGGACCAGUGGGAUUAUGGGCCAGUGGGGUUAUGGGCCAGUGGUGUUAUGACAAGUGGGAUUAUGGGCCAGUGGUGUUAUGACAAGUGGGAUUAUGGGCCAGUGGG
rnacentral:lncRNA from 1 species